GGCAUCUUGUAAAAAGGCAUGUUGGGAUCCAGCAGAUCUUAGGGAGACUGGGAUUCUGCAUUUCUAACAAGUUC
rnacentral:miRNA from 1 species